GACAAACACAUGUUGAUUCUCCAGGCAGGCUUUUUCAUGUUUUGCCACUUUGCUCGCCUCUGCCUUGAGCACCGCUUGCCCUACGACAAAGCCCUUGUCCUUGAGCCCGACAAGGGGGGAGACUCCAGUUAGGUCUACACAAGCGUAUUUCCCCUCUUCCCAUCCAAACACAAAGAUGUCUGCCGGGCGUAAAGCAGAACUCCCUCUAGGGGUCAGUCAGGAAAUAACUUGCAUGUUAAGUUGUUGACUUGUAUUUUGAUAUGAGUGCACUUAAGUGGAAGCUUCAUUCUGUUUUGAGUGCACUUCAAUGGAAGCUUCAUUUUCCACCUGCAAGAAGAACCCUAGCCCAUUGCAUAUACAUGCUACUGGGUACUAUUACCCUCACUUGAUCUCCUAUUUUCUUAAUUUAUACAUCCAUCAUACCUUUAUUUUCAUCUUCAAUUAGGGUUAUAUUCCAAAACAAUACACAAAAUCUUGUUAGGGCUUCAUAUAUAAACUUGUGUGUGUAAGUAUCAAUGUCUGUUGUAGCUGAGACUGCUUUACAGUUUGGAAUCAAUGAGUUACUGAAAGUAGUUUUAGGGCAAACUAUACAAACUGCCAGAAUCAAAACCCUAGUUAAAGGCCUUGAAAAAACUCUAAAGGUUAUCUAGCCGAUGUUGCGUGAAAGCUCGAGGUUGAGCAGGGUGUUGGAUCGUCCCGAAAACGAGACAAAAAUAUUCAUUUUCCAUCUAGAAAGAGGGAAAGAGCUUGUUGUUAAGUGCUCAAGGAUUAAAUUCUGGAAUGUGUACCAAAAGUUUGUUUAUUCGAAUAAGAUUAUUCGGCUUAACAAUGAGCUGUUGAUGUUUUUUAAGAUAGAUUUGCCGGCGAUAAUGAUGAGCACUGGCAUGACGAGUUUGGUUGGGAUUUAUGAUUUAGCAGACAAAAUGGAUCAAGUACUUUCUGUUGCUACUCAUUUGCGUGCAAAUCGUGGUUUGCGUGGAGUUCCAGAGGUUCGGGAGCAUAUUGUUGGGUUUAAUUGGCAUCUUGUCAAGUUGAAGCUUAGGCUGCGCGAAAAUGGCACGCGAGUGUUGGUGGUUUCAGGUCCUGCAGGCUGUGGGAAGACCACUUUGGUCAAGCUGCUCUGCCAUGACAAUCAAAUAAAAGAUAUAUUUGGUGAGCAUAUCAUAUAUGUUACAGUCUCUAGAUUAUCAAGUCUUCAAAUCAUUAUCCAGCAAAUAUUUAAACAUAUUUCUAAGCGAUGAAGACGCCAGGAAUCAACUUGAAAACCUUGUGAAGCGAAUGAAAUCAAAUAACAUGCUACUCGUCCUGGAUGAUGUGUGGUCUGAAUCUGAGUCCAUUAUUCAGGAUCUUAUGUUUCAAAUACCAGGAUACAAAGUUUUGGUCACGUCAAGAUUCUUGUUUCCAAGGUUUGAUUCUACAUAUGAGUUGGGCUUGUUGAAUAAUGAAGAUGCAAAAACUCUUCUUUGCUACUCUGCAUUUCCACGUGAUGGAAUUCCCAUUAACGUGACAGAUGAUCUCGUGAACAAGAUUGUUAAUUUCUGCAAGGGACUUCCAUUGGCUCUAACUGUAGCGGGUGCUUCACUAUGCGGACAACCUGCGUUCAAAUGGAAAACAACUCUCAAGAAAUGGUCGGAAAGUGGAUCCAUGUUGCAGUCAAACAGCAACAUACUUCAUAGUCUGAAGUCAAGUGUCGACGCACUGGAUGAGUUGCCUAAUGUUAAAGAAUGUUUCUUGGAUUUGGGCUCAUUUCCUGAAGAUGAACGGAUUUCAGCCACGGUUCUUAUGGAUAUGUGGGUGGUAUUGUACAAUCUUGAUGAUGAGGGAACGUCCACUAGUGAAAAUCUUCUUGAACUCUCAUUAAGAAAUCUCAUCAAUCUUUCUUCAGUAAGGAAAAAAAAAAUGCUGGUGAAGUAGACGGCUAUUGUAAUGAGCUUUACGUUACACAACAUGAUUUGCUAAGAGAACUAGCCAUCCACCUGCUGAGCACUCAAGAAUUGAACCUGUUGCAGAAAGAAAACGUUUUUUCAUAGACGUCCAUAGGAAUGAGUUUCCCACAUGGUGGAUUGCACAAACCGAACAACCCAUCAAUGCCCGUAUCUUAUCUAUUUCAACAGAUGCAGCAUUUUGCUCAAUCUGGUAUUAUGAUCUACAUGCACCUAAAGUUGAAGUAUUGACACUAAAUAUAAGGAGUAAAGAUUACACGCUAGCCGAGUUCAUCAAAAGAAUGGGACAACUGAAGGUUUUAACUAUUGAUUAUCCUUGUCAGCUACACAGUCUUUCCCUCAUGGAGUGUUUAUCCAACCUAAGAACAAUCAGAUUCCAACACGUUUCGAUUUCCUCUAUUCAACUCAUCUUUGCAUUAAGGAAUACAAGGAAACUUUCAUUUGUUAUGUGUGAGAUAGGUAAUGCUUUGAUGACUUGUUCCACUGAGCUUCCUUACAUACUAUCAAAUCUCACGGAUCUUGAAAUCGAUAUGUGUUAUGAUCUGAAAGAAGUACCAUCAGGACUAUGUAAUCUUGUUCAUCUACAGAAACUCAGCAUCACCAAUUGCCAAGAGCUUCAUGUUCUCCCAAAAGGAUUAGGGAGUUUAUCAGAUCUUCAAUUCUUGAGUCUUCAUUGCUGCACGAAGCUGCAAGAGUUACCACAAUCUAUUGGAAGCUUGUGCAGUCUAAGUAUCAUUGAUAUAUCUGAUUGUUUGAGUAUAAGUGAUCUGCCUGAAGAACUUGGUGAACUAUGUGGCCUGAAAGUGCUUAAGAUGAGCAAGUUGUUGAUGUGAUAUGCGACGAGGAGGCAUUGUACUUGUGGAUGGAGCUGAAAAGCAUUAUUCGUAAUUUGAAGAUGACAGGUUUGAAAGUUUUAUGAAGAUCGUUCGGUAAGUGUUAUUGAUCCUGCAUUUGUCAUUGAUUUUGUGAAGCAUUUUAGUUAGAUAUAUUGUUUGCAUAUUAUGUAAUUAUCUGAAAGAAAAUUGUAUGUUAUGUACAUGAUUUUGAUAAUAGUUAUUUUAUUAGAGAAUCCAUGAUUAUUGGA